rnacentral:rRNA from 1 species
CGCCUGUUUUAUCAAAAACAUAGCCAUUAGAUGAUAUUAUAUGGUUCAACCUGCCCAAUGUUUGUAUUAAUGAAUGGCCGCGGUACUCUGACCGUGCUAAGGUAGCGUAAUCAGUUGACUUUUAAAUGAGGUCAGGAAUGAAUGGGAGAACUGGGUUUAGCUGUCUCUAAAUUAUUAAAUUGAAUUUACUAUCUAAGUGAAAAAGCUUAGGUGUAGAAAAGGGACGAGAAGACCCUUAGAAUUUUUUUUAAAUUAAAUUAUGUUUUUUAUAAUUUUAUUGGGGCGAUAAAGAAAUAUUUUUAACUUUCUUUUAAAUUACAAGCCGAUUAUAUUAAGAAGGAACAAAUUACCUGAGGGAUAACAGCAUAAUUCUACAAAUGAGUUUGUGACCUCGAUGUUGGACUAGGGAACUAACAGGCUAGCCGUUUGUUAUGUUAGGUUCUGUUCGAACUUUUAUUCCU